UCUUCUUCUCUCUUCUUCUCUGGUUUUCUUCUUCUCCUCUCUGUUGAUUUCAAUCUCAGAGAUUUGAGCAUCUUCUGUCGAGAAAUUCUUAUAGACCUUGAUAGCUUGAUGAACUGAGUGAGAAGAUGAUGCUGCUGCUGUCGAUUGAGUUCUGGAAAAGCAGAAUUUUGAUUCAAAGGAUGAACCAGUGGAUGGUGGAUAUCGAGGUAGGAAUGGCUUGUCAUCGAAACAGGUGGGAACUCUGUAACCUUCUUGUAAUCAUUAAGUUCCUUUUCAUAUGCGAACAUGAUGUGCCAUUGCUUCUUAUGAGCAUUGUGUGUAAAUGAUUGGGUAUGUUGUGUAAUAUGCAUUGUGUGGAUUCUCCAAAUGUUAUAUCUAUUUUUAUGCUUAUUAUAGCCCAGAUGAGGCAAUAUCGUUAUAUAGGGGAAUAUUACCUUUUGCAAUUUCUUGUGAGAAUCCAAUCGUUUGUAUAUUAUGCUUGAUUGCAAAACCUUCGGGACUUAUUAUGGUAGUUCUUGAAUCAUGGUUUGUAUGGGCACUCUGUGUGGAUGGCGCUAUCAUUCGAGUCUGGAGUUAUUCUGCUUUCGCUUUCUCCAAUGAGUUUGGCGAGGUCUGAGUGACAUAUUUUUGGCUUGUUCUAUUCUCACAUUUGUAGAUCAUUCGGUGGUGGUCUUUCACGGAUAUUGUCAUUAUGGUGCGCAAUAUAUGAGGAGGUAGGACUAGAAUGACCUUUCUUUCAUGAAUGUUAUAUUACGAUGCUUGCUGAUUGUUGAGUGAAUAAUUUGAUGUGUGUUUGUGUGAGUUCCCCGCGAUGAGUGACUGUGAUAUCCCCACAGCUCCUUGCUAAGUCUUAUAGCCCAGAUGAGGCAAUACAUAGCACGGGAAGUGCAUAUAAUAGCUAUCUAGUGCGUAAAGCGAAAUAGUAUUACUUUUUAUUUUAUAACCUAAUUUAUGUCGUUAAUGACCCAGAUGAGGAAAUAGUAUAUCGAGGUAUUUGAGGAAAUUACUCUUACACAUGUUAUGCACGACGACUUGUUUUUAAAUUACUACUUCUUUAGCACUGUGAAGCAUAUUAGUGAUUACUUGAAAGUUAUUGUUUCCAUUGGGCACCCCUUUGGGAUGAUGUGCUCACUCGUUCCCACAUUAGUUUUCAGUAAUCGGAAGAAAAAGUGCGCUCGAAGAUAACCGCUUCAUAGCUUAAAUAUUUUAUCGUAUUAGAGAUAUUGCGUGUCUUUUGUAUAUGUAUAUUUUUGGUAAUCUGUAAAACAACACAUUAUUAUAUUCAUAUCACUCGAAAGAUCUUCAUUUAUAUAAUAUCAGAGUGUAUGGGUUUUCCCUUGGGA